UGCGGGAAGGAAGAACUAACAAGGAUUCCCCUAGUAAUGGCGAAUGAAGCGGGAACAGCUCAAAUUUGAAAUCUGCGUCGCCUGCGACGCCGAAUUGUAGUUUCUAGAAGCGCUUUCUAGGCGGGCCCGGGGCCGUCCAAGUUGCUUGGAACAGCACGUCAUAGAGGGUGACAACCCCGUCUGUGGCGGAACCGGCCGCUCACGAUGCGCUUUCGACGAGUCGGGUUGUUUGGGAAUGCAGCCCAAAAUGGGUGGUAAACUCCAUCUAAAGCUAAAUAUUGGCACGAGACCGAUAGCGAACAAGUACCGUGAGGGAAAGAUGAAAAGCACUUUGAAAAGAGAGUUAAAAAGUACGUGAAACCGUUAAAAGGGAAACGGAUGGGGUUAGCAAUGCGUCGCGCGAGAUUCAGCCGGGCGCGGCGCCGGGCGGGCGGUUUGCGGAUCUGAAUAGACCGCGGCCGUCCGGUUCGGCGCGGCGACCGUCGCACUUCUCGCCGGCGCGCGCCAACGUCGGUCGGCUCUGGGUCUCAAAGGCCUCGGCAAGGUAGGCACCGGCCCUCGGGCCGGUGUUGUUAUAGGCCGUGGCCGCAUGGCCCGGAGGCGACCGAGGUGCCGCGGCGUAUGCCUCCCUCCCACGGGUUGGCUAGGGUCCCGUCCGGCCGGUCGGUAGUCGAAUGCGGUGGACUGCGUGCAGUGCGCCGCGACUGCUGCCGGUCGCCCGAGCGGGGACCUCGUACCAUGCGCCCAGGACGUUGGCGGUCAAAUGGCCUCAUUCGACCCGUCUUGAAACACGGACCAAGGAGUCUAACAUGUGCGCGAGUCUUUGAGUGAAGGAAACUCGCAGGCGCAAUGAAAGUGAAGGCGGCCUGGCCGUCGAGGUGAGAGCCCGCCCCCCUCCCGGGGCGCGGGUGCAUCAUCGACCGACCUAUUCUGCUCUCAGGAAGGUUUGAGUAAGAGCGCAUCUGUUGGGACCCGAAAGAUGGGUAACCCAUUUA
rnacentral:rRNA from 1 species